CCUACGGGCGGCAGCAGUGGGGAAUAUUGGACAAUGGGCGAAAGCCUGAUCCAGCCAUGCCGCGUGUGUGAAGAAGGCCUUCGGGUUGUAAAGCACUUUCAGUGGGGAAGAAAGCCUUGGGGCUAAUACCCUCGAGGAAGGACAUCACCCACAGAAGAAGCACCGGCUAACUCCGUGCCAGCAGCCGCGGUAAUACGGAGGGUGCGAGCGUUAAUCGGAAUUACUGGGCGUAAAGCGCGCGUAGGCGGUCUGAUAAGCCGGUUGUGAAAGCCCCGGGCUCAACCUGGGAACGGCAUCCGGAACUGGCAGGCUAGAGUGCAGGAGAGGAAGGUAGAAUUCCCGGUGUAGCGGUGAAAUGCGUAGAGAUCGGGAGGAAUACCAGUGGCGAAGGCGGCCUUCUGGACUGACACUGACGCUGAGGUGCGAAAGCGUGGGUAGCAAACAGGAUUAGAUACCCCGGUAGUC
rnacentral:rRNA from 1 species